GAUGAACGCUGGCGGCGUGCCUAAUACAUGCAAGUCGAGCGAACAGACGAGGAGCUUGCUCCUCUGACGUUAGCGGCGGACGGGUGAGUAACACGUGGAUAACCUACCUAUAAGACUGGGAUAACUUCGGGAAACCGGAGCUAAUACCGGAUAAUAUAUUGAACCGCAUGGUUCAAUAGUGAAAGACGGUUUUGCUGUCACUUAUAGAUGGAUCCGCGCCGCAUUAGCUAGUUGGUAAGGUAACGGCUUACCAAGGCGACGAUGCGUAGCCGACCUGAGAGGGUGAUAGGCGACACUGGAACUGAGACACGGUCCAGACUCCUACGGGAGGCAGCAGUAGGGAAUCUUCCGCAAUGGGCGAAAGCCUGACGGAGCAACGCCGCGUGAGUGAUGAAGGUCUUCGGAUCGUAAAACUCUGUUAUUAGGGAAGAACAAAUGUGUAAGUAACUAUGCACGUCUUGACGGUACCUAAUCAGAAAGCCACGGCUAACUACGUG
rnacentral:rRNA from 1 species